rnacentral:rRNA from 1 species
UACGUAGGGAGCGAGCGUUCUCCGGAUUUACUGGGCGUAAAGCGCAUGCAGGCGGUUCAGCAAGUCUCGACUGACAGUUUCCGGCUUAACCGGGAAAGGUGUCGGGAAACUGCUGAACUUGAGUCACCAAGAGGCAGAGGGAAUUCCGUGUGGAGCAGUGAAAUGCGUAGAGAUGCGGAAGAACACCAGAGGCGAAGGCGCUCUGCUGGGGGUGAACUGACGCUAAGAUGCGAAAGCUAGGGGAG